CCCCCUGGACCAAACAUCUUCUCUAACCAACUCAUAAAUUCUCAAGUUUAUUUCACUUGCUUGCCUCCUACUAUCAGAAUUUUAUUAGUUUCUGCGCUACAAGAAAAGCGGGUAAAUUCGGCCAGAAAGAAGUUGUGAAUCCGAUAUAUAUGAUGAUGACAAUGGAUCAUACACAAGAACAAAGACAAUUGUAUCAAGAUUCAUGUAAAGAGUCAUUGAUGAUCUUUUCGAGAAACUUGAAAGAUGAUCAGAACUGGGAUUUAAUUGGCAAAGAAACCUGUGAUUCCGAAAAAUCAUCAUCGAUUGGAGAAGCUUCGAUGAAUUCGAACGGAUGUUCAAUAUCCUCUUCAUUAGACACAACAGAUGAUGCAUCUUCUUCAUGUUCUUCGUCUAAUUCUGCAAAUUCAAGUGGAUCUUUAUAUGAUUUAUCAGACCUCAUGUCUCAGUUGCCUAUCAAGAGAGGGUUAUCAAAGUUCUAUCAGGGGAAAUCUCAGUCAUUUACUUCCCUAGCAAGGGUGGGAAGCGUAGAAGAGCUAGCCAAGAAAGAAAGUGCUUACAACAGAAGAAAAUCAAUGAAAGGAUGCAGAAGCUAUGGAGGUAGUUUGAACAAUUAUAAAUCACACACCCUCCCAAAGCCCAUCAUUUCGAAGAAAAAUUCCCGGGGAUUAGUUUCUUCUUCGUCUUUUUCAAAUAGAAGGGGAUUUAAGGCUCCGUUUGUUUGACCACCGAAAAUUAUUUUUCGGAAUGUAAACAGAUACCAGAAAUGAGAUACAUAUUUUUUUUCCUUUAUCAAA